rnacentral:rRNA from 1 species
CACUCCUACGGGAGGCAGCAGUGGGGAAUUUUGGACAAUGGGCGAAAGCCUGAUCCAGCAAUGCCGCGUGAGUGAAGAAGGCCUUCGGGUUGUAAAGCUCUUUUGUCAGGGAAGAAACGGUGAAAGCUAAUAUCUUUUGCUAAUGACGGUACCUGAAGAAUAAGCACCGGCUAACUACGUGCCAGCAGCCGCGGUAAUACGUAGGGUGCAAGCGUUAAUCGGAAUUACUGGGCGUAAAGCGUGCGCAGGCGGUUUUGUAAGUCUGAUGUGAAAUCCCCGGGCUCAACCUGGGAAUUGCAUUGGAGACUGCAAGGCUAGAAUCUGGCAGAGGGGGGUAGAAUUCCACGUGUAGCAGUGAAAUGCGUAGAUAUGUGGAGGAACACCGAUGGCGAAGGCAGCCCCCUGGGUCAAGAUUGACGCUCAUGCACGAAAGCGUGGGGAGCAAACAGGAUUAGAUACCCCGGUAGUCCC